AGUGAACGCUGGCGGCGUGCCUAAUACAUGCAAGUCGAACGGAGUGGCGCACGGGUGAGUAAUGUAUAGCUAAUCUGCCCUCCACUAGAGGACAACAGUUGGAAACAACUGCUAAUACUAUAUAAUGUAGGAUGAGGGUGUAUUGUAUCAGCUAGUUGGUGAGGUAAUGGCUCACAAAGGCUAUGACGCAUAACUGGUCUGAGAGGAUGAUCAGUCACACUGGAACGUAGACACGGGACAGACUCCUACGGGAGGCAGCAGUAGUGCAUAUUGCUCAAUGGGGGAAACCCUGAAGCACCAACGCCGCGUGGAGGAUGACACUUUGCGAGGAGUAAACUCCUUUUGGUAGGGAAGCGUUACCUAACGAAUAAGCACCGGCUAACUCCGUGCCAGCAGCCGCGGUAAUUC
rnacentral:rRNA from 1 species